rnacentral:lncRNA from 1 species
CGAAGUGUGGGGGCACAGGAUCUUACUCAUCCUUGGGAUUCCAACGCCUUUUCUUACACUCACUGACGGCAUUGUCACGUCCACUAUCUCCACCGUGAAGCGUGCCCGGGCAUUCGCGCAAGGGUGUGCUGUCGGUUCCAUCAGAGUCGGCGGGCACGAUGGUCCCCUCUGUCCACGCCCUUAGAAGCUCGUCGUCCUCCAUAGCUCCUUCCCCUCUUUCGCCUCCUGCCACCCAGGCUUGGCGGGCACAACACAGAGCUCAUUAAGGUCGUCACCACCUCCCUCACCCAUUCGGAGUUUGUGGCGCGACUGCGGCAACGGCAAAGGCGGCAUGAAC